AGCGAACGCUGGCGGCAUGCUUAACACAUGCAAGUCGCGCGGGUGGUUUCGGCCAUCAGCGGCGGACGGGUGUGUAUCGCGGAGGGAUGUAUCCCGAGGUGGGGGACAACCCUGGGAGACUGGGGCUAAUACCGCAUGGGGCCUGUGGGUCACAGCCUUAGGGCCCCUUGGGAGCAGCCUGCGUCCGAUUAGGUAGUUGGUGGGGUAAAGGCCUACCAAGCCUGCGAUCGGUAGCUGGUCUGAGAGGACGAUCAGCCACACUGGGACUGAGACACGGCGCAGACUCCUACGGAAGGCAGCAGUGGGGAAUAUUGGACAAUGGGCGCAAGCAUGAGCCAGCAAUGCCGCGUGGGUGAAGAAGGUCUUCGGAUUGUAAAGCCCUUUCGGCGGGGACGAUGAUGACGGUACCCGCAGAAGAAGCCCCGGCUAACUUCGUG
rnacentral:rRNA from 1 species